CCUCUAUCUAUCUCCUGCGGCGGCUGGAAAUAGAUCUCUCCACUUUUCGUGCGGCGCCAGCUGCUCCGUCUCUCUCCUGCGUUGCGUGCGCAGGUAGGAAAGGAAUCUGGUCAUGGAGUGGGAGAUUUGCUCCGGAGAGGCGUAAGGGGAGGUCUCUCUCUGCGCCCCCCUCUUUGCGAAAAGAGAGAGUAUGGAGACCCAAUCUUACGUCGCCUGCCUGCGUCAUCCGGGACUGCUGGUUGAUGCGAUGCAUCCCUCCCAUCCCAUCCCCACCCAAGGAGCGAUGCGUCCGUACGCGGUCACGGAUCUGCACGCUCUACGCCCUCCCUAGCCUGUUACCAAUGGAGGCAGGAUAUUACUGGAUGUGUCAGAUGCUUGUUAAAGUAUUACAUUCACGGUCCAACAAGUGAGAUCUCGUGAACAUUCAUGUGGCACUUGCAAAGCUCCAUUGGGACGAACUUCCUUACCAACCAGAUGAGUAUUCGGUGACGACGAUAGCAAAUUUCAGCGCGGUGAUGUUCAAGCUUUGCGCAAGAGGAUUGUAGAGGACACCAAUCAUACAACUACUAAGGUCCGUGCUUUUCAGACCAGGUACAAGAACUAUUUUAGGCCACAGCUGGUGUCGCGGUGUUUAAUUAGCCCUUGUCCUAUCAAUGAUCGAUGGAUGGUCUUUUUACAACGUCAGAGGUUGGAAAUUUGUGGGCAUAAUCCUUGUUAUCUGAGUUGCUUCGACGUUAUGUGUUACGAGCAUGGCUGCAAUGAUGGUGAAUGGGAGCUUUUUCUGAACCACCUACUUGACAAGAAAGUUUAUGUCAUCGAGGAUUGGGACUCAUCAUAUUCCACCAUUGAGACCUUGAUGUAUUAUUACGGAGUUAGGCAGCCGGAUGAUGGGACUGGGGAACAAUUCUUCAAAGGAGAAUGUGACGCUUCAUUUGAUAGUGUCACUAACACAGCAAGCUUCUCUUACAUAAUCUGGAAAGAUGAUGAAAUUGUUUAUUCAGAGGUUUUCUCGGGCCUUGUGUGCUCUUCAGCGGUUGAAGCGGAAAUGUAUGCCGCGUAUGCCCUUCUGUACAAAGCGGAACAGUUGAAGAUCCGUAAGUUGCUUCUAUGGACUAAUUCCAGAACAACAGCGGAUGUCCUAACUGGCGAGCAUCCAAUCAAGAGGGGCGAUGAGCAUUGUGACUUUUAUCUAACAUUAAGGGCGAUGAGAAUGCGGUUCAGUUGGUUUAUGCCACCUCCGGGGUUUACCAGUCUUCAGAGUUGAAUGGACAAGUAUCACACAAACAGCUGUCAAGAAAUUUAAGAACGUAAUAUUGGAUGAUGAAACAUAUGGCGUGAAGGGCCCUGACGUCUAUCUUGUUGAAGUCAAAGAGGGCCGUAAGUUGGAAUGCUUGGUUGCGCUUAAACAGACUCUCAAGCCAAGUCAACUGACAGUGGCCCUUGACAGUUAUGAUGAUAAGUGUGAUUCGUUCAAGGAACAAUUGGGAACUGUCACUCUCAAGAAAUCACGCAAAAAUCUUGGUUCAGGGCCAAUGCCUGGUACAUGCAGCACUUUCACUAGUGAAUCUCUUCCCGCAUUGCCACCGCUUGAUGCGUCCAACACUUCAUCAACCAGCAAAUCUGCAUUGCCACCGCCUGAUGCGUCCAACACUUCAUCAACCAGCAAAUCUGCAUUGCCACCGCCUGAUGCGUCCAACUCUUCAUCAACCAGCAAAUCUGUGAACGGGUCUCCCCCCUCAAAAAAUUUGAUGGUGGUGUUGGAUUAUUCAGUUCCUAGGGAUCUUUAUUAUGACAGUGGUGCUUUUCAUGUGGUGUUUGUUACGCGGAGCGAGCGUGAGAGUAUGACUGAGGAGAUCCCAGAGUUGACUGCAUUAGGUUUUGUUUACUUCAAUGAUGUUAGAUUCCCAUUGAACAAAGUGAAGAAAGUGAACGCGCAGGAAGGGCAGAAGUAAAAGCAAUGAGAAAAUACCUGGUGUACAGUGGAAGCUUGGGGCUCUGAAGGGUGAGAAGAUUUUGCAUUGAAGCAGUUUUAUCAGCCAAACGGCGGCUUGUUCUGCCAAGUAGUACUCCCUCCGUUCCUAAAUAUAUGGUGUUUUGGUAGUUCAGUUUGAAGUACCAGAACGUCAUAAUAUAUUUUAGGAACGGAGGGAGUAGUUGUUAGGCAGGACGUUUUUUGUAGCUGGUCUGAGCACAUGAUGUUGUGCGCUGAUGGUGGUACAUGUGCUGAAAGUAGUGUAGCUGGCACUAGCUUCGAAUCAGCUGUGUAAUGGAGUAUAAAUUUACAUCAAGACAUCCUAAUACUAUGCGAUGUAGCCUAGCUGGUAGCUCUGAA